rnacentral:rRNA from 1 species
UACGUAGGGGGCAAGCGUUGUCCGGAAUCAUUGGGCGUAAAGCGCGUGUAGGCGGCCAGAUAAGUCCGCUGUGAAAUCUCGAGGCUCAACUUCGAGCUGUCGGUGGAAACUAUCUGGCUAGAGUCCGGAAGAGGAGAGUGGAAUUCCUGGUGUAGCGGUGAAAUGCGCAGAUAUCAGGAAGAACACCCGUGGCGAAGGCGGCUCUCUGGGACGGUACUGACGCUGAGACGCGAAAGCGUGGGGAGCAAACAGG